rnacentral:rRNA from 1 species
UGGGGAAUAUUGCACAAUGGGCGCAAGCCUGAUGCAGCCAUGCCGCGUGUAUGAAGAAGGCCUUCGGGUUGUAAAGUACUUUCAGCGAGGAGGAAGGCGUUGUGGUUAAUAACCGCAACGAUUGACGUUACUCGCAGAAGAAGCACCGGCUAACUCCGUGCCAGCAGCCGCGGUAAUACGGAGGGGGCAAGCGUUAAUAGGAAUUACUGGGCGUAAAGCGCACGCAGGCGGUCUGUCAAGUCGGAUGUGAAAUCCCCGGGCUCAACCUGGGAACUGCAUCCGAAACUGGCAGGCUAGAGUCUUGUAGAGGGGGGUAGAAUUCCAGGUGUAGCGGUGAAAUGCGUAGAGAUCUGGAGGAAUACUGGUGGCGAAGGCGGCCCCCUGGACAAAGACUGACGCUCAGGUGCGAAAGCGUGGGGAGCAAACA